rnacentral:pre_miRNA from 1 species
GGGGUUCCUGGUGAUGCGAUUUUCUUGUGCUCGCCAAAAUCACAUUGCCAGGGAUUUCCAA